rnacentral:rRNA from 1 species
GAGUUUGAACCUGGCUCAGGAUGAACGCUGGCGGCGUGCCUAAUACAUGCAAGUCGAGCGAACCACUUCGGUGGUGAGCGGCGAACGGGUGAGUAACACGUAGGUGAUCUGCCCAUCAGACGGGGACAACGAUUGGAAACGAUCGCUAAUACCGGAUAGGACGAAAGUUUAAAGGUGCUUCUGGCACCGCUGAUGGAUGAGCCUGCGGCGCAUUAGCUAGUUGGUAGGGUAAAGGCCUACCAAGGCGACGAUGCGUAGCCGACCUGAGAGGGUGAACGGCCACACUGGGACUGAGACACGGCCCAGACUCCUACGGGAGGCAGCAGUAGGGAAUCUUCGGCAAUGGGCGAAAGCCUGACCGAGCAACGCCGCGUGAAUGAUGAAGGCCUUCGGGUUGUAAAAUUCUGUUAUAAGGGAAGAACGACUUUAGUAGGAAAUGGCUAGAGUGUGACGGUACCUUAUGAGAAAGCCACGGCUAACUACGUGCCAGCAGCCGCGGUAAUACGUAGGUGGCGAGCGUUAUCCGGAAUUAUUGGGCGUAAAGAGCGCGCA